rnacentral:rRNA from 1 species
CCCUUAGAUGUUCUGGGCUGCACGCGCGCUACACUGAUGCACUCAACGAGUUUACGACCUUGUCCGAGAGGAUUGGGUAAUCUUUUUAAAAUGCAUCGUGAUAGGGAUAGAUUAUUGAAAUUAUUAAUCUUGAACGAGGAAUUCCUAGUAAACGCAGAUCAUCAAUCUGCAUUGAUUACGUCCCUGCCCUUUGUACACACCGCCCGUCGCACCUACCGAUUGGAUGGUCCGGUGAAGCCUCGGGAUUGUGGUUCUUGCCGCUUUAUUGUGGCGUGACCGCGAGAACUUGUCUAAACCUUAUCAUCUAGAGGAAGGUGAAGUCGUAACA